AAUUUCUCUAGGAAAUAUGUUCUCUUAUCUUUCCCUCAUUAUGUUCUAGAUGUUAUUCAAGAACAAUCUACAGGAUUGUUCCCAGGCUGAUACUCUUAGAGAAACCUAUAAGAAAGUGACUCCAAAUGUGAGAAAGAGACGCAUUUUCCCUGCCCCCAAACUAUUCACUCAUUUCCCUUAAGAUUUCUUCUUGGCAUUGC